AUUGAACGCUGGCGGCAGGCUUAACACAUGCAAGUCGAGCGGAGUGAUGGUGCUUGCACUAUCACUUAGCGGCGGACGGGUGAGUAAUGCUUAGGGAUCUGCCUAUUAGUGGGGGACAACAUCUCGAAAGGGAUGCUAAUACCGCAUACGUCCUACGGGAGAAAGCAGGGGAUCACUUGUGACCUUGCGCUAAUAGAUGAGACUAAGUCGGAUUAGCUAGUUGGUGGGGUAAAGGCCUACCAAGGCGACGAUCUGUAGCGGGUCUGAGAGGAUGAUCCGCCACACUGGGACUGAGACACGGCCCAGACUCCUACGGGAGGCAGCAGUGGGGAAUAUUGGACAAUGGGGGGAACCCUGAUCCAGCCAUGCCGCGUGUGUGAAGAAGGCCUUAUGGUUGUAAAGCACUUUAAGCGAGGAGGAGGCUCUUUUGGUUAAUACCCAAGAUGAGCGGACGUUACUCGCAGAAUAAGCACCGGCUAACUCUGUGCCAGCAGCCGCCGUAA
rnacentral:rRNA from 1 species